GUCUGGUGGGUAGUUUGACUGGGGCGGUCUCCUCCUAAAGAGUAACGGAGGAGCACGAAGGUUGGCUAAUCCUGGUCGGACAUCAGGAGGUUAGUGCAAUGGCAUAAGCCAGCUUGACUGCGAGCGUGACGGCGCGAGCAGGUGCGAAAGCAGGUCAUAGUGAUCCGGUGGUUCUGAAUGGAAGGGCCAUCGCUCAACGGAUAAAAGGUACUCCGGGGAUAACAGGCUGAUACCGCCCAAGAGUUCAUAUCGACGGCGGUGUUUGGCACCUCGAUGUCGGCUCAUCACAUCCUGGGGCUGAAGUAGGUCCCAAGGGUAUGGCUGUUCGCCAUUUAAAGUGGUACGCGAGCUGGGUUUAGAACGUCGUGAGACAGUUCGGUCCCUA
rnacentral:rRNA from 1 species